GUGGCCAUCGUUCAAUGGUUAGGACCGUGGUUUGUGGAGCCGCAGAUGAGGGUUCAAUUCCCUCUGGCCACCCCA
rnacentral:tRNA from 1 species